rnacentral:rRNA from 1 species
AGUGAACGCUGGCGGCGUGCCUAAUACAUGCAAGUCGAGCGCAGGAAGCCGUCUGAACCCUUCGGGGGGACGACGGUGGAGUGAGCGGCGGACGGGUGAGUAACACGUAAAGAACCUGCCCAUAGGUCUGGGAUAACCACGAGAAAUCGGGGCUAAUACCGGAUGUGCCAUCGGACCGCAUGGUCCGCUGAUGAAAGGCGCUCCGGCGUCGCCCAUGGAUGGCUUUGCGGUGCAUUAGCUAGUUGGUGGGGUAACGGCCCACCAAGGCGACGAUGCAUAGCCGACCUGAGAGGGUGAUCGGCCACACGGGGACUGUGACACGGCCCAGACUCCUACGGGAGGCAGCAGUAGGGAAUCUUCCACAAUGGACGAAAGUCUGAUGGAGCAACGCCGCGUGAACGAUGAAGGCUUUCGGGUCGUAAAGUUCUGUUGUAAGGGAAGAACAAGCGCCGCAGGCAAUGGCGGCACCUUGACGGUACCUUGCGAGAAAGCCACGGCUAACUACGUGCCAGCCGCCGCCGUAA